rnacentral:rRNA from 1 species
UGGGGAAUAUUGCACAAUGGGCGCAAGCCUGAUGCAGCCAUGCCGCGUGUAUGAAGAAGGCCUUCGGGUUGUAAAGUACUUUCAGCGAGGAGGAAGGCAUCGUACCUAAUACGUGCGGUGAUUGACGUUACUCGCAGAAGAAGCACCGGCUAACUCCGUGCCAGCAGCCGCGGUAAUACGGAGGGUGCAAGCGUUAAUCGGAAUUACUGGGCGUAAAGCGCACGCAGGCGGUCUGUCAUGUCGGAUGUGAAAUCCCCGGGCUCAACCUGGGAACUGCAUUCGAAACGGGCAGGCUAGAGUCUUGUAGAGGGGGGUAGAAUUCCAGGUGUAGCGGUGAAAUGCGUAAAGAUCUGGAGGAAUACCGGUGGCGAAGGCGCCCCCCUGGACAAAGACUGACGCUCAGGUGCGAAAGCGUGGGAAGCAAACAGGAUUAGAUACCCUGGUAGUCCACGCCAGAAACAAUGUCGACUUGGAGGUUGUGCCCUUGAGGCGUGGCUUCCGGAGUAACGCGUUAACUCCACCGCCUGGGGGAAUCCCGCCGCGAGGUUUAAAC